CUUCUCAAAACAUUUGUCUCACCAGCUUAAAAAGAGAAGCCCAGCCUGCAGAGGUGCAGAGCUGGGGUUGUGUGACCUCCCCUCCCUUCCUCAGCUCUGCAGCUUGAAAAGCCUCAGCCUGGGAAUGUGCUGGGAUGGCUCAAUCCAGCAAGGAAAGCUCCACCAGCAUCCCAAAUCCUCUCCAGGCUGUGCUCUGGUACCCAAGGGAAGAAUUAACAUACUGCAGGAGCAGAUGCUGGCAGGGAGACUCAGGUGGGAAAGGAUGAUGCUGUGGACACCUUCACUGCCUCUGCUCUCCUCUCCUUGGCACUCCAGGAUCCAAACCUGUCAAAACUCACCCGUCAGCAUCAGAAGCAAAUGACUUGGAAGCAUCCAGACAGCACUUCCCUUCCCAUUGACCCGCGUCUGUGCAGCCUGCAAUGUGCCUUGGACCUUUAUCCUCUGGGAUGUCAGCCUGGGAGGACGGAGCUGGGCACUCUUAGCUGUGAUUCAGACCUGGACUGGGCCUCCAGGAGGGUUGGCACGAGCACCUGCAGAUAUAUAUUUCUUUAAUAGCCAUUUAU